UACAGAGGCCUCGAGCGUUAGGCGGAAUCACUGGGCUUAAAGCGUGUGUAGGCGGACUUCUAAGUACCUUGUGAAAUCCCAUGGCUCACCCGUGGAACUGCUUGGUAUACUGGUUGUCUUGAGCCUUCUAGGGGCGAGUGGAACAAAUGGUGGAGCGGUGAAAUGCGCAGAUAUCAGGAGGAACACCGGUGGCGAAGGCGGGUCUCUGGGCCGAUACUGACGCUGAGGAGCGAAAGCGUGGGGAGCGAACAGG
rnacentral:rRNA from 1 species